ACAGACUGGGAAAUCUCUGCAGGCAAGUGUGAUGUCUUUAUAGCAAUCUCACAAUUACCUGUAGAGAUUCU
ensembl:miRNA